rnacentral:rRNA from 1 species
UACGGAGGGGGCGAGCGUUAUUCGGAAUUAUUGGGCGUAAAGGGCGCGUAGGCGGCUGUACAAGUCAAAGGUGAAAUCCCUCGGCUCAACUGAGGAACUGCCUUUGAAACUGUACGGCUUGAGGCCGGGAGGGGGUAGCGGAAUUCCCAGUGUAGCGGUGAAAUGCGUAGAUAUCAGGAGGAACACCUGUGGCGAAAGCGGCUCACUGGACCAUAACUGACGCUGAUGCACGAAAGCUAGGGGAGCAAACAGG